ACUACGUGGCAGGCAGUCCGCCGGUUAAUACGUAAGGGCGGCGAGCGUGUCCGGAAUUAUUGGGCGUAAAGGGCUGAAGGCGGCCGGCCGCGUCCGUCGUGAAAUUCCUCCGGCUCAACCGGGGCUGCGGUGGGUACGGGUCGGCUGGAGUGCGGCAGGGGAGGCUGGAACUCCUGGUGUAGCGGUGGAAUGCGCAGAUAUCAGGGAGGAACACCGGUGGCGAAGGCGGGUCUCUGGGCCGUUACUGACGCUGAGGAGCGAAAGCGUGGGGAGCGAACAGGAUUAGAUACCCUGGUAGUCCACGCCGUAUACGUUGGGCACUAGGUGUGGGGCGUCCCCGUUCGCGGGGGCUCCGCGCCGUAGCUAACGCAUUAAGUGCCCCGCCUGGGGAGUACGGCCGCAAGGCUAAAACUCAAAGGAAUUGACGGGGGCCCGCACAAGCGGCGGAGCAUGCGGAUUAAUUCGAUGCAACGCGAAGAACCUUACCAGGGCUUGACAUGGGGGCGGUGGCGUCGGAGACGGCGUCUCCCUUUUUCGGGGCGCCCCCGCAGGUGGUGCAUGGUUGUCGUCAGCUCGUGUCGUGAGAUGUUGGGUUAAGUCCCGCAACGAGCGCAACCCCUGUCCCGUGUUGCCAGCGCGUCGUGGCGGGGACUCUCGGGAGACUGCCGGGGUCAACUCGGAGGAGGGUGGGGACGACGUCAAAUCAUCAUGCCCCUGACGUCCUGGGCUUCACGCAUGCUACAAUGGCCGGUACAGAGGGUGGCGAUGCCGUGAGGCGGAGCGAAUCUCGUAAAGCCGGUCUCAGUUCGGAUCGGGGUCUGCAACUCGGGCCCGUGAAGUCGGAGUCGCUAGUAAUCGCAGAUCAGCAACGCUGCGGUGAAUACGUUCUCGGGCCUUGUACACACCGCCCGUCACGUCACGAAAGUCGGCGACGCCCGAAGCCCGUGGCUCUGUCUGUUGGCGGGGAGCGGUCGAAGGCGGGGUUGGCGAUUGGGACGAAGUCGUAACAAGGUAGCCG
rnacentral:rRNA from 1 species